rnacentral:lncRNA from 1 species
UCUGGCACGCAGCGUGGUGUCAGGUUCUACGUGCUCCUCACAAAGGAAAUAAAGCAGUGAAGUGACUAAAACAGCAGAAAACAAAAUCUUCUUGAGUAAAGUACUCUUGGCAGUAGACUUUAUGAUGUGGUACAACAUCAGGAAAAAAUAAACCCAGCAGACAGAUGGUCUCCAGAGAGAAAUAACCAUAAACUCUGAAACUACUACACAUGAAAGUACCUGCCCAAGGAAUAGAGAAGACAGAUGUUUCUCUAGGGAUUGACCUACAAUGGCACUUGUUGCUCUUGGUGACCAGAGCUAAAAGAAAGCUGAAAGCCAGCAUCAGUGUGUGAAGUCACUGAAGUAUUUUAUAGAUCAGAAAAGUUGGCAAGCGAUGGACACUAGACAACACAAACUUCCUCUCUCCAAAAAUAUAUUCACAGUCAGCUUUAAAGCUGUAGUCACUCCUCUGGGGUCUGGUAAGUAAAGAAAAAAGGUAUGUUUUUUUUCUUGCUGCUGCUAUGUAUAUAAGCAUCAAGCUUUUUUUUGUGACCAAAAAAAAAAAUUGAAGUUGAUGAUUUUAUGUAGGUAGAAACACAUUAGGAGGAUAAGAAGAAAGACAAAAAUGUGGCUUUACCUAACAUAUUUUAUCCUUCACUGAAAGUUCUAGAGAUGUUUACUUAAAUUUUGUUAUUACUGUUUUAGGUGCAUA